rnacentral:sRNA from 1 species
UAGCUGGAAACUGAUUGAAAAAAUAGAGCCUUUCAGAGAUGUCUUGGAUAAUUUUGAAAUGGAAAAAAAAUUAUUGUUGGAAAGAGACAAAUAUACAAGUGAGCAAAUGGAAAGAUUGACCAAAGAAGCCAUUAAAAACAUGGGUCAUCAAAACCAUCACCAGAAAGUCAAAUAUGUGGAGACUUUGAAAAAGAUUGCUCCGGUGAUUGCUACUACACAAUGUGACUCUUCAAAAAUAAUGACAUAGACACCUGGUGAACCAAGAAUUCCGUUUAAAGG